rnacentral:rRNA from 1 species
AGAGUUUGAUCCUGGCUCAGGACGAACGCUGGCGGCGUGCCUAAUACAUGCAAGUCGAGCGGAGAGGAGAGAGCUUGCUCUCGAAUCUUAGCGGCGGACGGGUGAGUAACACGUAGGCAACCUACCUGUAAGACUGGGAUAACCUCGGGAAACCGAAGCUAAUACCGGAUAAGCUGGAUCUUCGCAUGAGGAUCUACUAA